rnacentral:tRNA from 1 species
GCGGGAAUAGCUCAGUUGGUAGAGCCCUUGCUUCCCCAAGCAAGUUGUCGCGGGUUCGAGCCCCGUUUCCCGCUCCA